CUUCGGGAAACCGGAGCUAAUACCGGGAUAAUAUUUUGAACCGCAUGGUUCAAAAGUGAAAGACGGUCUUGCUGUCACUUAUAGAUGGAUCCGCGCUGCAUUAGCUAGUUGGUAAGGUAACGGCUUACCAAGGCAACGAUGCAUAGCCGACCUGAGAGGGUGAUCGGCCACACUGGAACUGAGACACGGUCCAGACUCCUACGGGAGGCAGCAGUAGGGAAUCUUCCGCAAUGGGCGAAAGCCUGACGGAGCAACGCCGCGUGAGUGAUGAAGGUCUUCGGAUCGUAAAACUCUGUUAUUAGGGAAGAACAUAUGUGUAAGUAACUGUGCACAUCUUGACGGUACCUAAUCAGAAAGCCACGGCUAACUACGUGCCAGCAGCCGCGGUAAUACGUAGGUGGCAAGCGUUAUCCGGAAUUAUUGGGCGUAAAGCGCGCGUAGGCGGUUUUUUAAGUCUGAUGUGAAAGCCCACGGCUCAACCGUGGAGGGUCAUUGGAAACUGGAAAACUUGAGUGCAGAAGAGGAAAGUGGAAUUCCAUGUGUAGCGGUGAAAUGCGCAGAGAUAUGGAGGAACACCAGUGGCGAAGGCGACUUUCUGGUCUGUAACUGACGCUGAUGUGCGAAAGCGUGGGGAUCAAACAGGAUUAGAUACCCUGGUAGUCCACGCCGUAAACGAUGAGUGCUAAGUGUUAGGGGGUUUCCGCCCCUUAGUGCUGCAGCUAACGCAUUAAGCACUCCGCCUGGGGAGUACGACCGCAAGGUUGAAACUCAAAGGAAUUGACGGGGACCCGCACAAGCGGUGGAGCAUGUGGUUUAAUUCGAAGCAACGCGAAGAACCUUACCAAAUCUUGACAUCCUUUGACAACUCUAGAGAUAGAGCCUUCCCCUUCGGGGGACAAAGUGACAGGUGGUGCAUGGUUGUCGUCAGCUCGUGUCGUGAGAUGUUGGGUUAAGUCCCGCAACGAGCGCAACCCUUAAGCUUAGUUGCCAUCAUUAAGUUGGGCACUCUAAGUUGACUGCCGGUGACAAACCGGAGGAAGGUGGGGAUGACGUCAAAUCAUCAUGCCCCUUAUGAUUUGGGCUACACACGUGCUACAAUGGACAAUACAAAGGGCAGCGAAACCGCGAGGUCAAGCAAAUCCCAUAAAGUUGUUCUCAGUUCGGAUUGUAGUCUGCAACUCGACUACAUGAAGCUGGAAUCGCUAGUAAUCGUAGAUCAGCAUGCUACGGUGAAUACGUUCCCGGGUCUUGUACACACCGCCCGUACACACCACGAGAGUUUGUAACACCCGAAGCCGGUGGAGUCACCUUUUAGAGCUA
rnacentral:rRNA from 1 species